rnacentral:rRNA from 1 species
UAGUUCGGAUUGUAGGCUGCAACUCGCCUACAUGAAGCUGGAAUUGCUAGUAAUCACAGGUCAGCAUACUGUGGUGAAUACGUUCCCGGGCCUUGUACACACCGCCCGUCACACCAUGAGAGUUGAGAAUACCCGAAGUCCAUGUCGAAGUGGCCGAAGGUAGGCUUGAUGAUUGGGGUGAAGUCGUAACAAGGUAAC